GGUGGCCGCAGAGAAUAGGCCCAAGCGACUGUUUACCAAAAACAUAGGUUUCUGCUAAGUCGCAAGACGAUGUAUAGGAGCUGACGCCUGCCCGGUGCUGGAAGGUUAAGGGGAUCUGUUAGAGCAAUCGAAGCAGUGAACUUAAGCCCCAGUAAACGGCGGCCGUAACUAUAACGGUCCUAAGGUAGCGAAAUUCCUUGUCGGGUAAGUUCCGACCCGCACGAAAGGCGUAACGAUUUGGGCACUGUCUCAACAACAGACUCGGUGAAAUUGUAAUUCCGGUGAAGAUGCCGGAUACCUGCGACAGGACGGAAAGACCCCAUGGAGCUUUACUGUAGCUUGACAUUGGGUCUUGGUACUACAUGUACAGGAUAGGUGGGAGGCUUUGAAACCAGGACGCCAGUUUUGGCGGAGCCAUCCUUGGGAUACCACCCUUGUAGUACUGGGACUCUAACCAUAGGCCAUGAAUCUGGUCUUGGGACACUGUCAGGUGGGCAGUUUGACUGGGGCGGUCGCCUCCCAAAAGGUAACGGAGGCGCUCAAAGGUUCUCUCAGUACGGUCGGAAAUCGUACGUAGAGUGUAAAGGCAAAAGAGAGCUUGAUUGCAAGACAUACAGGUCGAGCAAGGAUGAAAAUCGGACUUAGUGAUCCGGUGGUUCUGCGUGGAAGGGCCAUCGCUCAACGGAUAAAAGCUACCCUGGGGAUAACAGGCUUAUCUCCCCCAAGAGUCCACAUCGACGGGGAGGUUUGGCACCUCGAUGUCGGCUCAUCACAUCCUGGGGCUGUAGUAGGUCCCAAGGGUUGGGCUGUUCGCCCAUUAAAGUGGUACGCGAGCUGGGUUCAGAACGUCGUGAGACAGUUCGGUCCCUAUCCGUCGCAGGCGUAGGAAAUUUGAGAAGACCUGUCCUUAGUACGAGAGGACCGGGAUGGACG
rnacentral:rRNA from 1 species